rnacentral:rRNA from 1 species
GACACGAGGUGCUGCAGUGGCUGUCGUCAGCGUCGUGUCGUGAGAUGUUGGGUUAAGUCCCGUAACGAGCGCAACCCUUGUCCUUAGUUACCAGCACGUAAUGGUGGGCACUCUAAGGAGACUGCCGGUGACAAACCGGAGGAAGGUGGGGAUGACGUCAAGUCAUCAUGGCCCUUACGGCCAGGGCUACACACGUGCUACAAUGGUCGGUACAAAGGGUUGCCAAGCCGCGAGGUGGAGCUAAUCCCAUAAAACCGAUCGUAGUCCGGAUCGCAGUCUGCAACUCGACUGCGUGAAGUCGGAAUCGCUAGUAAUCGUGAAUCAGAAUGUCACGGUGAAUACGUUCCCGGGCCUUGUACACACCGCCCGUCACACCAUGGGAGUGGGUUGCUCCAGAAGUAGCUAGUCUAACCUUCGGGGGGACGGUUACCACGGAGUGAUUCAUGACUGGGGUGAAGUCGUAACAAGGUAAGCGUAGAUGA